rnacentral:rRNA from 1 species
AAUCAACGCUGGCGGCGUGCCUAACACAUGCAAGUCGAACGCGAAAGUGGAGCAAUCCAUGAGUAGAGUGGCAAACGGGUGAGUAACACGUGGGUGACCUGCCUUCGAGUGGGGGAUAACGUCCCGAAAGGGACGCUAAUACCGCAUGACAUGCUGUCUUUGAACAGAUGGACAUCAAAGCCGGGGAUCGCAAGACCUGGCGCUUGAAGAGGGGCCCGCGCCUGAUUAGCUAGUUGGUGGGGUAAUGGCUCACCAAGGCAACGAUCAGUAUCCGGCCUGAGAGGGCGGACGGACACACUGGGACUGAGACACGGCCCAGACUCCUACGGGAGGCAGCAGUGGGGAAUUGUUCGCAAUGGGCGCAAGCCUGACGACGCAACGCCGCGUGGAGGAUGAAGACC